rnacentral:rRNA from 1 species
CACGUAGGGCGCAAGCGUUGUCCGGAAUUAUUGGGCGUAAAGAGCUCGUAGGCGGUCUGUUAUGUCUGCUGUGAAAACCCGGGGCUUAACCCUGGGCUUGCAGUGGAUACGGGCAGACUAGAGGCAGGUAGGGGAGAAUGGAAUUCCCGGUGUAGCGGUGAAAUGCGCAGAUAUCAGGAGGAACACCGGUGGCGAAGGCGGAUCCCUGGGCCUUACCUGACGCUCAGGUGCGAAAGCUAGGGGAGCGAACAGG